rnacentral:lncRNA from 1 species
AUGGAAAAGAGUUCCAACAAUUUUCAUGAACUUUGAAUAAUUCACUUAAUAUGGACUAUACGGAGUAAUGUGACACAUAAGGGAACUUACCACUAUUCCUUUUUUAAGAAUAUCAGUAUGGUCACCAUUUUUUCUCAUAUUAAGAGUGCAAUGACAUUUGAUUUCUAAGAAAAAGAAGAAUGGCAAGAAAAACUCAAACCAAAAUUGAUGUACCUCCUCAUUAGGUUGUGUUGAAAGCUCAAACAAUGUUCUAAUUGCCAUCAACUUUAGCAAAUGCAUAGGCUGUCAUUUCUUUUGCAGGGAUAAAAGGAAAUUGUAUCACAGCGAUAGCGUAGCCGAAUAAACCAAACAAAAUAUCACUUCUUAUUUUUUGAGUGAAGCUCUGGUAUCAUGUCAAGGACAGAAGGAUUCUCCCUUACAACAUCUAUCAAAAAACCAGUUGUAGUUGCAUCAAAUGAGAAGCCCCUUCCAUCCAUUUCCUUCAUAAAAGAUGCCAUUUCACUAAUUUUGUUGCACCUGAGAAAUCCUUGCACAAUAACAUUAUAAGUGACAUUGUUUGGAGAACAACCGUUGUCUUCCAUUUUUCUUAGAAUAUAUUUAGCUUCAUCAAACAACCCUUCAAAACAAAAUCCAUUAAUCAUUAUAGUGUAUGUUCUCACAUCUGGGAGUAAUCCAAUGAAAGAAAGCUUCUUGAAAACAGCAUGUGCUUUGUUGAGUUUACCAUUUUUGCACAAUCCGUUAAUGACAACCCUAUAAAAUGCAAUAUUAGUAUAUUCUUUGUUUCUUUCUAACUUAUUAACGAGUGCCAUAGCUUCUUCAACAAGUCCGUACUUAUAAUAACCAUUGAGCAAAGUGACAUGAAUGUAUAUAUCAGGCUUGGUCCCUGCAGUUAGCAUCUCAGCGUAAAUUUGCUUUGCAUCACCAGUUCUUCCAACUUCAAAAAGACCUUGCAAGAUCGUAUUGUAGGUAAAAUUAUCGGGUUUUGAUCCCUUUUGGGAAAUUUCACAAAACAAUUGCAUGGCCUCAUCCACUUUCUUUUUCUUACAGUAUCCCUUUAUUAGUACGUUAUAGCUAAUAAUGUCGGUCUCAAUGCCCUUAUCUAUCAUGAUACUAAAAAUUCUCCUUGCUCUAUCUAGUUGACCACGCAAACAAUAUCCAUCCAUCAAUGCAUUGUAGGUGAUUGUAUUAGGCUCUACACCCUUUUCGACCAUGUGUUUCAUUACUUCCUCAGCAUCUUUGACUUUCCCUUCUUUGCAUAGUCCAUCUGUUAUUAUGUUUAAGGUAUGCACAUCUGGAUAAAUAUUAAGGUUCACCAUCUCAUAGAACAAACUCGUAACCUUUUCCCACUGACCAAACUUACACAAACCAUCAAUUAUUGAAUUAUAUGUGACUAUGUCUGGAGGAAUGUCUUUCUGCUUCAUCUCGUUCAGAAUAUUGAUAGCAGCAUCUAAGUUUCCAUCUUUGCAAAGAGCAUCUAUAACAAUGCUGUAGAUAUAUAUGGUGGGCUCAGUAUUACCUUGUUCCAUUAACCGGAGCAAACUUAAAGUCUUCUGAGUAUGACCCCUUUUGCUUAGCCCAUUCAUGACGAUUGCAUACAUGACUUCGUCAGGCUCACAAAUCUUGUCUCUCACCAACUUCUUGAACAAUUCAACUGCAUCUUUGACCUUAUUUUGAGCAAAGAUUCCUUUUAAUAGGGUGUUAAAGGUAACAGUAUUAAAUGGAAUGCCAUUCUUCAAGUAAAUGGGUAACACCGAAAAUGCACAAUCAACCCGAUACAUCAGGCAAUAACUAUUAAUCAUGAUAUUUAAGAUGAAAUCACUAAUUGGGAUGCCCAAUUUCAGCAUUUGUCGAAAAAGAGAAAGGGCACCAGAGUAAUGUUUCAUCUUUAUCAUAGUCUUAAACAAUUGAGAGAAAUGGACAACUGAAGGAAGAGGCUUCAUUGUAACCAUUUGAUGGAAGAGAGUAACAGCAUCAUCUAAAUUGCUACUAUUUACACCAAAUUUAUCCAUUACUGAAAUGGAUUUUUUACUGUAACGGCAUGAAGAAUAAGCUCUAAUUGUAAAUGCCGAACCAGAAAUGGAAGAGAUAAAGGGAAUACCAUUGCAAUUGCGCAGAGAAAUCCUCCUCAUCUUCUUCAAUGGCUGUAUCUCCGUGUGCCCUAAUUUUGCAAGAAACUAAUACAUUCAGCUUCUUUGGAUUUUUUUUUUGUUUGCCAUUCGCUCAUUCCCAUCCCUAAUAUUAGAGCACGACUAAAUUUAAAUUUACCUCGAAAAAUCUUAGCAACCAUCCAAAAAAAGGCAAGUGUCGUUACGCUGUUAAUUUAUUUUUUUUCAUUUUAUUUUUGAAUUAUUAUUUAAUAAUCUUAUUGUAUACUGUUAUUUUUUUUUAAAAAAAAUAUUGUGUACCCUAUGUUUAUUUAUAGUGUUAUAAAUUUAUUCUUUAUAUUAUUGAUGUGUGAUAUUAUGUAACAACAUAAUCGAUACAUUUCAUUCAAAUAUUAUAUUAACUAAAACAAUACAAUAUAUUAUGUAACAAUAUAUAAUAAUCAUCAAAACAAUCUGCAAUUAAUACACUAUGAAAGGUUGUUUGCUUGCUCGUUAAGAAGUAAGUUAUUUAUGUAUUAAAAUUAAUAUUAUAACUAAUAACAUGCUUAAGAUUAGUAUUUUAGUUGCUAUGCAUAAAAUUAAAUACGUUAAUUGAUUACCAUUUUACAAUCUCACAAAUUAUUAUAAAUGUAUAAACUAGGUGAGAUCUAUUUAGUCCCCCCUUGUCCCCCUAUUUACUUGUCAAUUUUUGACUUGACACACCUAUUAAGAAAAUAAUAAUUGACAUAAUGAGUUUACUAUUUUAUUCUUAUUAAUUGAUAGAAUUUCAAAAUCAAGUUACUCAUUAAAGGGGUUCUACCUUUUUCAAAAACAUUAACUCUCUAAAUAAAUUGAGCGUAUAAUAAAUUAAAAAAAAUAUUAUCUUUUCUUAAUUUGUCAAAAAUGACAAGUAGAAAGGGACAAAUAAAGAAUCAAAAUUGAACAAGUAAGAACGUUACAUAGGAGAAAAAUAAAAUGAAGUAUACUACAUGAAUAAUUAAGUCUUCAUCUAGGUGAAUAACUCUAACUAGCGAAAAAACAACCCCUUAAAGGGUAAUUUGUUAUGUAUAAAAUAACUCUUACUUAAAAUAUACAUUUUAAUUAUUUGGAUUUGAACAUGAGAUCUUAUGAUUCUCAAUCCACUUUAUCGAUCAAUUAUACCACCCCCUUGAUAAGUCAUAUUUUUGGAAAACACAACUUUUUUUUUGACCUAACAGAGAAGGCAUGAUUAUAGAUGUUGAAGGAUAUUCAGAAAAUGUGUCUUAUUUCAUGAAACAUGCAUUUAUCUCAGUUAGUUAGAACUCAACUUAAAAUUAAAUUCAAAUGAUUCUAAAGACUAACUUCAUAAACUAAACUUAGAAGGAAAUAUAUGUGUUACUCAAAUCUUAAAGUGUUUACAAGAUUGAAUAUUUCAUAGACAACUAAAAACAUACUCCCUCCGUCCCUAUUUACUUGUCCAUAUUUCCUUUUUUGGUUGUCCCUAUUUAGUUGUCCAUUUUGACAAAUCAAGAAAGGACAACAAAUUUUUUCCUAUUAUACCCUUAUUUACACUUCUUGAAAAUUGUAAAAGUGUAUGUUGUUUCCCUCCAAUUUAUUUCACUUGAAUUCAAAUAAGUGGUUGUAAUUUUGAAGUGAAAAGUUGUCAUAGGGUAAAAUUGUAACUUCACUGUGCUAAUCAUUGUUGCCUUAAUCUGUGUGCCAUUUCUAAAAUGGACAACUAAAAAGGGAUGGAGAGAGUAUCUGAUAGUCAAAGAUGCGUAGUACAUGUGUUGUUGGUGGGAGGUAGCAUGUACUUGCUGAAUAGUUGAAGGUACACACAAGUGGGUCAGAACAGUACCGUCAUUAAAAAAAAAUUAAUGACAACUAUGAUAAAGCUAACACAUGGAGAUAUGAUCAUGUAACAAUUUCAACAUUACAUUUGCGUCCACGCAACCAAAGUUCUCAUAACAGAAGCAACAUUAUUACACCCCAGACUAAUAAGUGCAUUAGAAAGAUUAGUUACCAUACCUAAAGAAUUGGUAAGUGUGCAUUUAAGUACAACAACAAAACAAAUAAGUCUCAAUCCCAAAUCCCUGGAUUUUCACUAAUCACAUCAUACAAUAAAAGCACAUGGAUAAUGUAAAACCCAAAAUCUUGGGUUGUAAAACAUAAACUUUAUAUUUAUUGAUAACCGUGGUGUCUAGGCCAACUACAAGUGACUAGUUGCACCAGUUGAUAAGGAUGCUCCAGAAACAAUGUCAGCUUGAUAAAUAUACUUCCUCUUUUCGAAUAGGAAUUGAUUUGAUCUUAUUAUUAGAAUAUUCAGAUUCAAUAGAAAAUACUGUUUUCAAGAAGGAAUCACCAUCACCAGUGGAAGUUGAACCUGGCGAUCUCUAUCUCCUCAAGUAUGGAAAAAGGAAGAAAAAGCAGCCAAACACAGGGAAGGAAAUAGAGAAGGUAAGGGACCACUUUCCUUGUUCAAGCUGGUAUUUAAUGAGUAAGUAGUAAGUAAGUGAGAAGUCGAUUCUUUUAUCGUUGAGAAAACAGAUCACUUGCUAAGAUGCUUUCAAUUUUACUUGUGCUUAUAUAUCAAAACCUAAUCCCUGUUCAAACUACCUCAUCUGUUCUCUAACUGUGAGUCCAAAGCCAAACUUGUAGUCUUCUUUUUUGAUUGACCUGAACAAGCGAUAAAGAACACAUUUAGGACAAUAAUGAAAGUUAUACAGCCAAACUGUGAGAGAUUGAUUGUAUUCGAAUUAGUAAAAGCAAGAAGGAAAAUAAUAGAUAGAGGGGUGUGCCCCUUAUCUACCAAGUUUUUAUCCAUGCGCCUCUCAGAAAAAAGGUGGGAGGAAAUCAAGAAGCUUUUCAUAUUUCGGCAUCAUUGAGGGACGGAGUAACAUCCUCAACCCAAAAUUAAAGUCAUUGGGAACAUGUAUUCUGUGAAGGAGCCACGACAAGAUAGAGAAGUCAAGAUGCAACCUACCUUGGCUGAUAAAAUGAAAUUAAGACCCACGUUCAAGCGCUCUUCCAAGAAACCAGCAACACAUCCAUCUUCCUUCUGAGACAACAUUGUAAUGAAUGCAUCAUAUUGAAACACUAUGUUAAAUUCAUGAUAACCAUGGUUGAUUAGAAGUCCUAAUGUUGUUGCAAUGAAGCCACAAAAGCAAGAUCAACUAAACGAGUUCUCAAAACUAUUGCAUAACGCAUAAUAGCAGCCCACAAAAAGUGUCUAUAUGACUAUUGUGCACCAAAGGGUGUGGCCUAGGAGUCAAUGAAGUGGAUUAAGAACCAUGUGGUCUCGAAUCAAAUCCCAGUGAAGGCAAAAAAGAUAGUUGAUCUCUUUCCAUCUAUAUAACCCUUGGUGGACAAAAUUACAGGUACCAUUGUUGGUGGGAGAUAGUAGGUACACCGUGAAAUUAGUAUAGGUGUGUGUUAGUUGGCCCGAACACCAUUGAAAUCCAAUACAAUAAAACAAAAGUUUUUAAUGUCUACAAUGAAAGUCAAGAGAAUUACUUUAGUUAUAUGCUAGUGCGAACUAGAUUCAUUUAAUAUAUUCAGGUUAAUAGCACAAAUUUCCAUAGUUCGAUCAUAAUUAGGGGUUGGCAUGGUAUGGUAGAUACCAAAACUGAAAUUUUUGACACCACACUUCCAAUAUUAUGAUAUUUGGCAUGCCUAUUUAAAAUUUUUGGUAUUCGACAUUUAUAACAAGAAUACUCAGUGCAACUUUUCCACUAUUACCCUUUUGAUUAUUUUCAAACUAGUCUCCUAGAAAAUGUUAAAAAGUUAAGAAUCUCAUUAAAUGAAGAGUAACUAUGGAAAAGAGUUCCAACAAUUUUCGUGAACUUUGAAUAAUUCGCUUACUUUGAACUACGAAAAAAGUCUCAAUAAUUCACUUAAUUUGGACUACACGGAGUAAUGUGACACAUAAGGGAACUUACCACUAUUCCUUUUUUAAGAAUAUCAGUAUGGUCACCAUUUUUUCUCAUAUUAAGAGUGCAAUGACAUUUGAUUUCUAAGAAAAAGAAGAAUGGUAAGAAAAACUCAAACCAAAUUGAUGUACCUCCUCAUUAGGUUGUGUUGAAAGCUCAAACAAUGUUCUAAUUGCCAUCAACUUUAGCAAAUGCAUAGGCUGUCAUUUCUUUUGCAGGGAUAAAAGGAAAU